AUUGAACGCUGGCGGCAUGCUUUACACAUGCAAGUCGAACGGUAACAGGCCGCAAGGUGCUGACGAGUGGCGAACGGGUGAGUAAUGCAUCGGAACGUGCCCAGUCGUGGGGGAUAACGCAGCGAAAGCUGUGCUAAUACCGCAUACGAUCUAUGGAUGAAAGCGGGGGACCGUAAGGCCUCGCGCGAUUGGAGCGGCCGAUGUCAGAUUAGGUAGUUGGUGGGGUAAAGGCCCACCAAGCCAACGAUCUGUAGCUGGUCUGAGAGGGCGACCAGCCACACUGGGACUGAGACACGGCCCAGACUCCUACGGGAGGCAGCAGUGGGGAAUUUUGGACAAUGGGCGCAAGCCUGGUCCAGCAAUGCCGCGUGCAGGAAGAAGGCCUUCGGGUUGUAAACUGCUUUUGUACGGAACGAAACGGUCUGGGUUAAUACCCUGGGCUAAUGACGGUACCGUAAGAAUAAGCACCGGCUAACUACGUGCCAGCAGCCGCGGUAA
rnacentral:rRNA from 1 species